GGAUGUGAGGGCGAUCUGGCUGUGACAUCUCACACCCCACUGAUCGCUAGGGUUAAUUCAGUUGAUCUGGCUGGCAAGACAGGUGCCCCCUUCCUCCUUCAUCACUCCAUGUGCUUCCCUCCUGAAGUUAUGUGCUCAACAAAGAUGGCCUUCCCUGAAUAGAGACAGACCAGUCUUCGGUCAAGGGGCAUAUGGUUAGUUGUUCUUCCCUGCUAGAACUUCCAAACAAAUUGUCAAGAAACAAGGGCCUGAGACAGCACUGAGACAGUGAUUGAUACACUCAAGAUUGUCCUGUUGAGUUUACUU
ensembl:misc_RNA 7SK 7SK RNA